rnacentral:lncRNA from 1 species
CUGUAAACCUGUUUAAUCCCAUACAUGAUCAACAAUCAUACAUAAAAAUUAAAACUUUUCUUUCAUUCAUUCCUCAUACACCAAACUCAACCUGUGCAUGCACUAAAACAUAAUCAUAAACUUGACCCCUCUGUGGGAUCUCAUCAAUGCCCCAAUGGGCGAUAUACAUGGGUUGAGUUGGCUAACAUCUAUAUCAUCAAAUAUCUAAGAUCAUGCAUCAACAAGGGAUUACAAUGAACUAUGGUCAAGCACAAUUCUAAACCUCAAUAUCAUUACACAUAACAUAACUAUUCAGUUAUACAUCAUCUUACAAUUUAUCAUGUCCAC